rnacentral:rRNA from 1 species
GACGAACGCUGGCGGCGUGCUUAACACAUGCAAGUCGAGCGGAAAGGCCCUGCUUUUGUGGGGUGCUCGAGUGGCGAACGGGUGAGUAACACGUGAGUAACCUGCCCUUGACUUUGGGAUAACUUCAGGAAACUGGGGCUAAUACCGGAUAGGAGCUCCUGCUGCAUGGUGGGGGUUGGAAAGUUUCGGCGGUUGGGGAUGGACUCGCGGCUUAUCAGCUUGUUGGUGGGGUAGUGGCUUACCAAGGCUUUGACGGGUAGCCGGCCUGAGAGGGUGACCGGCCACAUUGGGACUGAGAUACGGCCCAGACUCCUACGGGAGGCAGCAGUGGGGAAUAUUGCACAAUGGGCGGAAGCCUGAUGCAGCAACGCCGCGUGCGGGAGGACGGCCUUCGGGUUGUAAACCGCUUUCGCCUGUGACGAAGCGUGAGUGACGGUAAUGGGUAAAGAAGCACCGGCUAACUACGUG